rnacentral:sRNA from 1 species
UCGCCAUUCUUUUAAACAAGGAUAUCAAAGCAGGUUUAGGUUUCUGCGUCAAGGAUGUGCACAAAGAUUGGGAGGAAGCAUUUGAUUUUAAAGGAAGGUUGGAUUUCGUGGAUUCUUGUGUUAAGAAAAAAGGGGAUUUCAGAGAUAGAAUAUGUACUGUGUCUGAAAUAAGGUAUUACUUCCAUGGUUUCCUGGAACAAGGGGCAACAUCUAGCAACUAUGUAAAACC